UACGGGGGGGGUAAGCGUUGUUCGGAAUUACUGGGCGUAAAGGGCUCGUAGGCGGCCAACUAAGUCAGACGUGAAAUCCCUCAGCUUAACUGGGGAACUGCGUCUGAUACUGGAUGGCUUGGAUUCGGGAGAGGGAUGCGGAAUUCCAGGUGUAGCGGUGAAAUGCGUAGAUAUCUGGAGGAAUACCGGUGGCGAAGGCGGCAUCCUGGACCGGCAUUGACGCUGAGGAGCGAAAGCCAGGGGAGCAAACGGG
rnacentral:rRNA from 1 species